rnacentral:rRNA from 1 species
UACGGAGGGUGCAAGCGUUAUCCGGAUUCACUGGGUUUAAAGGGUUCGUAGGCGGGCAGGUAAGUCAGUGGUGAAAUCCCCGAGCUUAACUUGGGAACUGCCGUUGAUACUAUCUGUCUUGAAUGCCGUGGAGGUAAGCGGAAUAUGUCAUGUAGCGGUGAAAUGCUUAGAUAUGACAUAGAACACCAAUUGCGAAGGCAGCUUGCUGCACGGUUAUUGACGCUGAUGCACGAAAGCGUGGGGAUCAAACAGG